GAUGAACGCUAGCGGCAGGCCUAACACAUGCAAGUCGAGGGGUAACGGGGAGCUUGCUCCGCCGACGACCGGCGCACGGGUGCGUAACGCGUAUACAACCUACCUUUUGCUAUUGGAUAGCCCAGAGAAAUUUGGAUUAACACAAUAUAGUACCGUAUCACCGCAUGGUGUUUACGGUUAAAGGCUACGGCAAAAGAUGGGUAUGCGUCCUAUUAGCUAGAUGGUGUGGUAACGGCACACCAAGGCAACGAUAGGUAGGGGCCCUGAGAGGGGGAUCCCCCACACUGGUACUGAGACACGGACCAGACUCCUACGGGAGGCAGCAGUGAGGAAUAUUGGACAAUGGAGGCAACUCUGAUCCAGCCAUGCCGCGUGCAGGAAGACUGCCCUAUGGGUUGUAAACUGCUUUUAUACGGGAAGAAACCCUCCUACGUGUAGGAACUUGACGGUACCGUAAGAAUAAGCAUCGGCUAACUCCGUGCCAGCAGCCGCGGUAAUACGGAGGAUGCAAGCGUUAUCCGGAAUCAUUGGGUUUAAAGGGUCCGUAGGCGGACGAUUAAGUCAGGGGUGAAAGUUUGCAGCUCAACUGUAAAAUUGCCCUUGAUACUGGUUGUCUUGAAUUACUGUGAAGUGGUUAGAAUAUGUGGUGUAGCGGUGAAAUGCAUAGAUAUUACAUAGAAUACCAAUUGCGAAGGCAGAUCACUAACAGUAUAUUGACGCUGAGGGACGAAAGCGUGGGGAGCGAACAGGAUUAGAUCCCCUGGUAGUCCACGCCGUAAACGAUGGAUACUAGCUGUUGGACUUUAUUUCAGUGGCUAAGCGAAAGUGAUAAGUAACCCACCUGGGGAGUACGUUCGCAAGAAUGAAACUCAAAGGAAUUGACGGGGGCCCGCACAAGCGGUGGAGCAUGUGGUUUAAUUCGAUGAUACGCGAGGAACCUUACCAGGGCUUAAAUGUAAGUUGCAUGAUUUAGAGAUAGAUCUUUCUUCGGACUACUUACAAGGUGCUGCAUGGUUGUCGUCAGCUCGUGCCGUGAGGUGUCAGGUUAAGUCCUAUAACGAGCGCAACCCCUGUUGUUAGUUGCCAGCGAGUCAUGUCGGGAACUCUAACAAAACUGCCAGUGCAAACUGUGAGGAAGGUGGGGAUGACGUCAAAUCAUCACGGCCCUUACUUCCUGGGCUACACACGUGCUACAAUGGUAGGUACAGAGAGCAGCCACUUCGCGAGAAGGAGCAAAUCUAUAAAACCUAUCACAGUUCGGAUUGGAGUCUGCAACUCGACUCCAUGAAGCUGGAAUCGCUAGUAAUCGAAUAUCAGCCAUGAUUCGGUGAAUACGUUCCCGGGCCUUGUACACACCGCCCGUCAAGCCAUGGAAGCUGGGAGUGCCUGAAGUCCGUCACCGUAAGGAGCGGCCUAGGGUAAAAUCGGUAACUAGGGCUAAG
rnacentral:rRNA from 1 species